CUGGCUGCACGAACUGAAGUCCGCGUAGGCCGAUGCCAAGCUCGAGGUGUCCAUCCCGGCCAUACAUGACUCGUAGGCAGAGGAAUUUAGAUGCUGCAGCCAGCUCCUGCACACUCACGGCUCGUCUCUCCUGCUCAUCUCCGGCCCAUCUGAGCCCUUUAUCUGAGCUUCCCCGAGUGACCAGGAGACCAGCCAGUGGAUUAACAUAAAAAUCUUAUUCCGAGGGAUAAGAUUAGGAAAACAUAUUACCCUCAAACGCGGCCUUGGCACGAGCGGGAGCCAUGGCAAGAGAUCAAUUACUAAAUUACUCCAACCUCUAAGUCGACAUUAACGCAGAGAAAUGCCAUCGACCCGUUCUGAAAUAAGAUUUCGCAAAGAUGUGAUCAUUAAAUCUCUUGCCAGUGUUCAAGAAUUUGAUUCAUAAAAAUCGUCUGAAAUGAGAUGGAAUUAAAUUCUUAUCGGGGCUCUUGUCAUCGUUUCAUCCCCGCGCUGUUUAACGUUGGUCAAUGGCCUUCAUGAGAUUUCCCCCUGUAAAUAAACUUAGUAAUUGAA